rnacentral:tRNA from 1 species
GCCGCGAUGGCGGAAUUGGUAGACGCGCGGGACUCAAAAUCCCGUUCCAGCAAUGGAGUGUGAGUUCGAUUCUCACUCGCGGCA